GAUAUGAUGGCACUACAAGCUC
rnacentral:piRNA from 1 species